rnacentral:rRNA from 1 species
UACGAAGGGGGCUAGCGUUGUUCGGAUUUACUGGGCGUAAAGCGCACGUAGGCGGAUUGUUAAGUCAGGGGUGAAAUCCUGGAGCUCAACUCCAGAACUGCCUUUGAUACUGGGGAUCUCGAGUCCGGAAGAGGUGAGUGGAACUCCGAGUGUAGAGGUGAAAUUCGUAGAUAUUCGGAAGAACACCAGUGGCGAAGGCGGCUCACUGGUCCGGUACUGACGCUGAGGUGCGAAAGCGUGGGGAGCAAACAGG